AUAUGACUUGCUACGCCUCCUCCGAUUUCACCACAACUGCUAUAUAUUGACAACUGACUGACAGCUAUUCAUUGCACCGGACGUGAAGGGUCGGAACGAAAAGAGCUGAAAUAUACAACACUUUGACAACCCAUAGACAAUAGAAUGAGCGGAUAUCCAGGCUACCCUACCGGUUACGCCCCUCCCCCUGGACAGUACCCCCUCCACAGCCCUACCCCGCCCCCGUCCCCACCGCACCCCAGCGCCCUACGUUCAGCCCCCAGCAGGAUAUGCCUACCGUCCACCAGUACCACCCCCGGUCCAGACGACCUACGUGGUAGAGCCUCCACGGACCAUUAUUGUUGAUGACCAUCAUCACCAUGGCCAUCAUCACCAUGGCCACCAUCACCACGGACACGGCAUUGGAGGAGUGCUUGAUGACUUGUUUCAUGGCGGGCACCAUCAUCAUCAUCACCAUCACGGACACCAUGGACACCACUGGUGAUGGCUGUCGAAACGAGGAAGAGACAUUAGAAGAAAGGAAGAUGUUUCCCAUCCCUGAAGAGUAAACAGAUCUACCUUAGCUUAUCCCACGAGCUGUAAAUCCCAGUGAAUAAAUAAAAGUUUGGCAAUCAAUCGACAUCCUACAAGAUCAGAAUAACGAUUUAGGUUCAAAUUUAGAUGUUCCUUCUCGAUGGGUUGACAGUUAACAAAAAAAAUUGAUAUGCCGAAAUUUUGUGUUCAUGCAUAUUUUAAGGAUAAACACUUUGAUUUUUGUGUAUCGUGUAGGCUUGGGGCUAAAGGUGAAAUUAAAUACUAUGGCGCUAAAUGGGUUUUCCCUUCGCCGGAACAAGUGAAGUACUUUGUUCCAACUUUCUGUACAUAUUGAAUAUUUGUAUUUGAUGCCAACGCCAGUCAUGGAAACGUCACUGGCAACUGACUUUGGUACAUCAAUGAUUUUUAUCUGUGUACAUUGUAUUUUGUUCGAGUCGUAAUAAACUGUGUGUCUUUA